CAAUGUGCACAAAUGAUCUGGAUGAGCCUGGAACAUCUCCCGAGGGAGGCGCCCAGGAGGCAUCCUUACCAGAUGCCCAAAGCACCUCAGCUGGCUCCUUUCAACACAAAGGA